ACUCUGCUCCACACCUUCUCCACGUGCAGGAAGUGAAAGGCAAGAAAUCCAAGGCAAGCAAAUAUCGGUGAUGAAUGGGAUAGCUUUAAGAAGAGUUUUGUCAUGCAGACCUGCUAUUCUAGCUUCACUGGACCCAAGCUGGCCUGAACUGCACAGCUGGACAUUUGCUGCAGCUGCAGCCUUGAAGCCCACAGGUGGGAAUUACUCCAACAUAAUUACCUAGUUUCAGACAUCACCCAUCCCUAAAACUUCCUUAAAAAACAGACUGUAAAAGAUGGAAGUUCUUCACAUGGAUAAAGGAGUUAACU